AGGGUGUACAGGACAGAUGAGGACAUACAGGACAGGUGAGGAUACACAGGACAGGUGAGGAUGUACAGGACAGGUGAAGAUGUACAGGACAGGUGAGGACACACAGGACAGGUGAGGACAUACAGGAAAGGUGAGGAUGUACAGGACAGGUGAAGAUGUACAGGACAGGUGAGUGUGUAAGGGACAGGUGAAGAUGUACAGGACAGGUGAGGAUGUACAGGACAGGUGAGAACAUACAGGACAGGUGAGGCUAUAAGGGACAGCUAUAAGGGACAGGUGAGUCUAUAAGGGACAGGUGAGGCUGAGUGUGUAAGGGACAGGUGAGUGUGUAAGGGACAGGUGAGGCUAUAAGGGACAGGUGAGGCUAUAAGGGAGGCUAUAAGGGACAGGUGAGGCUAUAAGGGACAGGUGA